AUAUGCUCCAACUGUUAUCGAAAGAGAAAACCUCCAGUUUGAUUUUUUAGGUGUGUAUGAUCAGAAUUUGACUCAUAAAUGUGAUGAAUUAAAAAGCUAUUUUGAAUCAAAAAAUAUUAUUAAUAUUUUGAAAUCUUUAAUUGCAGUACUAAUGGUGGAGAAGCCACAAGAUCACAUAAACUUUUUACAGAAAAUAUUGAGUACUUGCCAAAAUUAUUUAGAGAUUAAUUUUGAGACUUUUAUUUCAGGAAAACACCCAAUGAAAGAUGUACACAGACUCAAAUAUAUUCAGCAAAUAGAAAAUAGAAAUGACUAUCAUGGAAUGAUUUUUGAAUUAACAGAACUCUUAUUCGGAAACACCAUAUGAGAUUAUAUAUAAUUUU